rnacentral:rRNA from 1 species
UGACAGUACUCCUACGGGGAGGCAGCAGUGGGGGAAUAUUGCACAAUGGGCGCAAGCCUGAUGCAGCCAUGCCGCGUGUGUGAAGAAGGCCUUCGGGUUGUAAAGCACUUUCAGUCGUGAGGAAGGUAGUGUAGUUAAUAGCUGCAUUAUUUGACGUUUAGCGACAGAAGAAGCACCGGCUAACUCCGUGCCAGCAGCCGCGGUAAUACGGAGGGUGCGAGCGUUAAUCGGAAUUACUGGGCGUAAAGCGCAUGCAGGUGGUUUGUUUAAGUCAGAUGUGAAAGCCCGGGGCUCAACCUCGGAAUAGCAUUUGAAACUAGGCAGACUAGAGUACUGUAGAGGGGGGUAGGAAUUUCAGGUGUAGCGGUGAAAUGCGUAGAGAUCUGAAGGAAUACCGGUGGCGAAGGCGGCCCCCUCGGACAGAUACUGACACUCAGAUGCGAAAGCGUGGGGAGCAAACAGGAUUAGAUACCCUGGUAG